rnacentral:rRNA from 1 species
GAUGAACGCUAGCGGGAGGCCUAACACAUGCAAGCCGAGCGGUAUAGUUUCUUCGGAAACUAGAGAGCGGCGUACGGGUGCGUAACACGUGUGCAACCUACCUUUAUCAGGGGAAUAGCCUUUCGAAAGGAAGAUUAAUACUCCAUAAUAUAUUAGAUGGCAUCAUUUAGUAUUGAAAACUCCGGUGGAUAGAGAUGGGCACGCGCAAGAUUAGAUAGUUGGUGAGGUAACGGCUCACCAAGUCAAUGAUCUUUAGGGGUCCUGAGAGGGAGAUCCCCCACACUGGGACUGAGACACGGACCAGACUCCUACGGGAGGCAGCAGUGAGGAAUAUUGGACAAUGGGUGAGAGCCUGAUCCAGCCAUCCCGCGUGAAGGAUGACGGUCCUAUGGAUUGUAAACUUCUUUUGUAUAGGAAUAAACCUACCCUCGUGAGGGUAGCUGAAGGUACUAUACGAAUAAGCACCGGCUAACUCCGUGCCAGCAGCCGCCGUAAGAC